rnacentral:rRNA from 1 species
AGAGUUUGAUCAUGGCUCAGGAUAAACGCUGGCGGCGUGCCUAACACAUGCAAGUUGAACGGAGUGCGAGAGAGCUUGCUUUUUUGCACUUAGUGGCGGACGGGUGAGUAAUGUAUGAGCAACCUGCCUUUCAGAGGGGGACAACAGUUGGAAACGACUGCUAAUACCGCAUGACGUGCGCAGUUCGCAUGGACAGCGCAUCAAAGGAGAAAUCCGCUGAAGGAUGGGCUCAUAUCCGAUUAGAUAGUUGGUGAGGUAACGGCUCACCAAGUCGACGAUCGGUAGCCGGACUGAGAGGUUGAACGGCCACAUUGGAACUGAGAUACGGUCCAGACUCCUACGGGAGGCAGCAGUGGGGAAUAUUGGGCAAUGGGCGAAAGCCUGACCCAGCAACGCCGCGUGAAGGAAGAAGGUCUUCGGAUUGUAAACUUUUGUCUUAUGGGACGAUGAUGACGGUACCAUAGGAGGAAGCCACGACUAACUACGUGCCAGCAGUCGCGGUAAUACGUAGGUGGCGAGCGUUAUCCGGAAUUAUUGGGUGUAA